UCAAGCUUUUUUUCCAUUUAGGAUGAUUUUGGCUGUGGGUUUCUAUACCUUUACUAUAAAUUCUAGGACCAACGUCUAAGUGCUUGCACAUCCCUAGUGGGCUGGUCUUCCUUCUGUCAAUCAUUAAUCAAGAACAUGCCCCUACAGACUUGCCUACAGGCCAAUCUAAUGAAGUCAGUUCCUCAGUGAGGCUCCAUCUUUCCAGAUGAUUCCAACUUGUUUCUGGUUGACAAAAGUACCAUUACAGUGGUCAUGAGAAGGGGAGACCAGGAAAAGCCUGUGACACCAGGACAGCGUUGACCAGAAAGCCAGAAAGCAGGUUGGGAAGCAGGCCGGGAAACAAGCAGGCCUGAAGUGGAGUGUCCACAGACAGGAAGACCAAUAGUGUCUCUCAUAGAGCUGCUUUUGAGGAACACACACCCUAGGGGCUAUUCUGGGACUACCGCAGCUAUGGAAGAGAGCAGUAGCUACAGAAGAGAACAGGAGAACCAAAAAGAGUUUUAAGACCAUCGACACCAAACACUAUGGCUUCUUAGAGCCAGGAUUGGGAGAACAGGAGGUAUGGGCUCUUCUGAGACAGGUGAGACCAGAGAAGCAGGAGAGGAGAGGAAUCAGAUGCCAACAGAGAGUGACCAAAUGAUCAGGGCCAUAGAAGAGGGAGAUACAAGAAUGGAAUUGAGCAGUCAGAUGGCGGAGGCCUGGGCUGGUUUAGGGCUUUCGGCCGCGGGUAGCUAGGGCGUCUGGAGAAGGGAAGGGAAAUGCGGUAGAGCAGGGCGCGCCUGGGUCCCCGACCCAGCCCCGAGUGAGCCCGAGGUAUUUUCCUUAUAUGAUCAGGCCUCACGCGGCCGGCGCUGCUGGUCUGGAGCCUGAGAGGAUUAUGAAAACGUGGCAGGGUUUCCUGAUGUUCUGGAACUCGCCCUGUAGUCCAGGCUAGCCUCGAACUAUGAGAUCCGCCUAAAUGCUGCUGGCAUUAAAGGCACACUCCUCCACGCACGGCUUUAACCUAGUCAUUUGUCGUGAAAACUUUCAGGAAUACUGAAAUGUGGAAAGACCCUGAGAGCAAGGCUGAGUCACCAUGGACUGGAAUAUCUGAACGUGAACCCAGACGAGCCUUUUCCCUUGAACGUUGAUUACCUCAAGUACGGUGCCACGGUGACAGAAAGCUCACUGACAUGCAUACAGAUUUCCCCUUGGGGAAGAUGAUGCAGACGGUGCUCUUAAAAGGCUGUGAGGACCAAGACUCCGACCACUCAGUACACUGAGUCGGGUUGCUGGCACCUGGCAAGUGCUGUGUUUGUCACGGGUAGGCCAGCUUUGUUUGUCCUCGGAACUAACGGUCAGCGCUUGAACUAUGGACUCCAGGCUGGAGCUGCACUUUGGCAGGAGUAUUGCCAGGUGGAUGAUCCACAAAUCCUCAUUAGGAAAAUACAGGUCAUGCCACUACCAGCUUGAGGCACAAAAACAUUGUCAUUGUUUUGUUUUUCCCCCUUGGGGACAAGCCACUGUUGUUUCAAAUAGUGACAGUAUCUUGAUAUGGUUUCCUUGUUACCCAACUUGAGAGGUGGAAGACCAAGGGCUAAUUGCUCAGCUCUAGCACCCACGGCAUCUUUACUGUUUCUCUUAAGCCUUGAAACAGGCUGAGGUCUUCAAGGACCAGCAGCCCUUUGGAACACUGAGGAGGGCGAGCCGUUGGAGUACAAGCCUGCGGAGGGGGCUGUUGAACCUCAAAUUGCUCACAUUUUGUUACCUGAAUGAUGACAGAAAGUGCUGCUUAAGCCUCCAUAUGCUAGCCACAAGAUUCUCAUGGACUAGCAUCCGAAGAGCGGGGCCAUAACUUCAAAACUUGUGGUACAUGGUCCCUCAGAAAACCCCCACGAACUUGGUGGUGGCAUUGACAGCUCUCAAGCUUACAGCAUCCAGGUUUGAAUGGUUAAGUGUUUGCAUGGCUAUGUGGAAGUCAUACAUGUUUAUGAGCUCCUGCGUAAUGCUUCAGUAAUUCAGGUGCAGUACUCGGUCGGCAGAGAGCUCCCUGCCCUGGAGUGACUUCCUCUAGGGACCCUGGACCCCCCUGGGAAUCUCCAAAGCCUGAGCUCAGCACAACUCAGGAUGAAUUAAAGGCAACACUAAAGCUGGCAAACUCCUGGAGCUGCUUUUGAGGCCCAAAGCCACGAAGGCCACAGUGAUGGUGACUGCAGGUCUGAAUUAACCCGAGAGAAGUCUUGGCAUCGAAGGUUGACUGUGUCUGAAGACAUCUCUAGAGGAGAUGCUACCAGGACAAUUACAUCCUUACCCCACCCACAAGCCUCUCUGACCUCUUCAGCUGGAACUGCCCUAAAUUCCUGGAUGUUUAGCUCUUAAGGUUCCCAGCAUGCUGUGUUGUGGUCUGCUGUAUACACAUGUCCUCCUCCUUGCCCCGUGCCCAUGACUCAUCUGCCAGCACAAAGCUGGCAUGGAUAUUUGCUGACAAUGGGGACAUAAAACACAAAGAGUCCUUAGAACGUGCUGCAUGUUGGCUCUGCUUCUGGGUCAUAGUUCCAGACCUUGUGCUACAAGUCUCCCAAAAGGUGCAAACUGUAGUCUCCUUGUCUCUUUCCUUGUCUUCAUAGACCCAGAACCUCACAUGCCAAGGUUCACUACUCUGGCAGGUGGGCCCAUGAGACAGUCUUUCCUCUGCUCAAGGUGGGGGCUGUCCACUGACUCUCCAGGGCUACAAGUGAGUACAGCAACUCUAUGUCAUACAGCUCUCUUAGCUAGCUGGUCACCCACCAUAUCACAUGUCCAGUGCCCCCCCCCAGGAGGCAUCGGCCUGCAAAUGCAUUUUCUAGGUUAUGUCCUUCACGUACCAGAAGCUGGCUCAACAACUUAUUAUUUGAUUUUUAGAUAUAUACAAAAUAGGUUUCAUGAUGAUGUUUUCAUACAUGCAUAUUAUUGCCAACAACAUGUACAUUUCUGUGCAUCAGACCAAUUGUCUAUAGUGACAAGAGGACAUAUUAUGGGAAAGAGGAGGAGGAAUCAUGUGUGAAUCCAGUACCUUACCUCCUCUUGGGGUUGACCCGAACCCAGGCUGCCUGGUCCCAGGUGCAAUGAUGGCCCAGCUGGGAUGGACUGGAAGCCCUGCUAGUGUGUGCCCUGCCAAUCAGGCUUGGGUACUUCCUGCUGUUCCCUCAGACACCCCACCCCAGAAGACAUGUGAACUCCAUUUCCAUUCUCCUCCAUAAAUCCUCUAGUCCAAUUUUUUCUUUUUCUGUAAUCUGUGCUGCUAAUUCCAUGGACAACCAUGUUUUUGUCAAUAUUGUCUUCCUUAUGCUCUUCAUUUUGUCUUCCUCCUGACCUGUAAGUUCUCCAGGGGACACACUCUCCCAUCUUUCUAACAUCUGCCAUGACCACCAAAGAUAGCCACCAAUGAUUUCUGUUCCCAUCAAAAGACAAGUACAUCCCUACUACAUUCGGCUGAGCUGUGAGAUUUGUCUUGGUCACUAGCAUGGGGCAGAAGUAAUGUCAUGCUGGUUCUGGGCACAGGCCUUUAGGAGCCCUAUGGCUCCUGCUUUCUUCUUCUUGGAAGCCAGUACCACAUACAGCUUCUCAGGCUAGGCUAGAGAAUGGACAGGGCACAUGAGAGAGACCUCAUGGAGGAAGACCCAAGUCCAGACACCAGCAUGAAGCUACAGCAGAUCUUCCAACUCCAUGUGGAGCAUAGCCAAGCUGUCCCCACUGGGAUCUGCCGGAAUCCCUGACCUGGACAUAGACAUUGCCAUUUUAAUACAUCAAGUCCUAUGCCAUUUGUUUCAAUUAUCACUCGUCGACAGACAGGGGUUUUUUCUAGGUCUCUGUUCCUACUGCAGAGCUAAGGACAUGAGCCUUGCCCAUCUGGCAGCUCCUGAUCAUAUUCCACCUAGAAAGGAUCCCAAGAGCUACAACCCACGAGGCAUGGCCACUUACCAGGUU